rnacentral:rRNA from 1 species
GAUGAACGCUAGCGGCAGGCCUAACACAUGCAAGUCGAGGGAUAAGCCUUCGGGCUGCAACCGGCGCACGGGUGCGUAACGCGUAUACAAUCUGCCUUUCACAUAGGGAUAGCCCGGAGAAAUUUGGAUUAAUACCUAAUGGUAUAUAAGAGUGGCAUCAUUUUUAUAUUAAAGCUUUGGUGGUGAAAGAUGAGUAUGCGUUCUAUUAGCUAGUUGGAGAGGUAACGGCUCCCCAAGGCGACGAUAGAUAGGGGUUCUGAGAGGGAUGUCCCCCACACUGGUACUGAGAUACGGACCAGACUCCCACGGGAGGCAGCAGUGAGGAAUAUUGGACAAUGGUCGGAAGACUGAUCCAGCCAUGCCGCGUGCAGGACGACGGUCCUAUGGAUUGUAAACUGCUUUUGUAAGGGAAGAAUAAGGAGUACGUGUACUUUGAUGACGGUACCUUACGAAUAAGCAGCGGCUAACUCCGUG